GCUGUGGUGGUGUAAUGGUUAGCAUUUCUGCCUAGUAUGCAAGACCCGGGUUCGAGCCCCGGCCGCGGCA